rnacentral:rRNA from 1 species
CAGCAAGUAGAACGCUCAAGAGAGGAGCUUGCUCUUCUUGGAUGAGUUGCGAACGGGUGAGCUAACGCGAUAGGUAACCCUGCCUUGAUAGCGGGGGAUAACUAUUGGAAACGAUAGCUAAUACCGCAUAACAAUGGACGACACAUGUCAUUUAUUUGAAAGGGGCAAUUGCUCCACUACAAGAUGGACCUGCGUUGUAUUAGCUAGUAGGUGAGGUAAUGGCUCACCUAGGCGACGAUACAUAGCCGACCUGAGAGGGUGAUCGGCCACACUGGGACUGAGACACGGCCCAGACUCCUACGGGAGGCAGCAGUAGGGAAUCUUCGGCAAUGGGGGCAACCCUGACCGAGCAACGCCGCGUGAGUGAAGAAGGUUUUCGGAUCGUAAAGCUCUGUUGUAAGUCAAGAACGGGUGUGAGAGUGGAAAGUUCACACUGUGACGGUAGCUUACCAGAAAGGGACGGCUAACUACGUGCCAGCAGCCGCGGUAAUACGUAGGUCCCGAGCGUUGUCCGGAUUUAUUGGGCGUAAAGCGAGCGCAGGCGGUUUGAUAAGUCUGAAGUUAAAGGCUGUGGCUCAACCAUAGUUCGCUUUGGAAACUGUCAAACUUGAGUGCAGAAGGGGAGAGUGGAAUUCCAUGUGUAGCGGUGAAAUGCGUAGAUAUAUGGAGGAACACCGGUGGCGAAAGCGGCUCUCUGGUCUGUAACUGACGCUGANGCUCGAAAGCCUGGGGAGCGAACAGGAUUAGAUACCCUGGUAGUCCCCCSCCGUAAACCAUGAGCGCUAAGUGUUGGGAUNCCUUUCC